AGUGUAGGUGGCUUAUUAAGUCACAUGUGAAAUCCCUGGGCUUAACCUAGGAACUGCAUGUGAUACUGGUGAGCUAGAGUAUGUGAGAGGAAAGUAGAAUUCCAGGUGUAGCGGUGAAAUGCGUAGAGAUCUGGAGGAAUACCGAUGGCGAAGGCAGCUUUCUGGCAUAAUACUGCACUGAGACUCGAAAGCGUGGGUAGCAAACA
rnacentral:rRNA from 1 species